UUCUUGCCAACAUGCUGUACUAUGAACUACAGUCCAUACUAUGUUAUUCUUGAGUAAAGCAUACUAUACUUUGACAUUUUCUGAACUACAUCCUAUACUAUGGCGUUAUACACAGAGUGCUUUGGUUACAUGUUGAUUUAUAAUCUAGAUUUUUUUCUGUUUUGUUUUUUGACAGGAUUACCACAGACCUGACUGUGAACACUGUUGACACCCACCUGAGGGAGACGCUGCCUAAGAUCUCAAGGCUGCUUGGUCGUGGUCUUUCUGGCACUCAUGCACUGGAACAGGAAGCUGGGUGACAGUAACAGUGGAAGGAAAACUGAUGAAUCUCCCUGCAGUUCCAGUUAAAGACCUCAGCAGUGGAAGAACCCAAUCCUGGCUGGUCUUUGGCUCACUCAUUAGUUGCUUAGCAGUGCAUAUCUGUGUAUUUACCUCAUGAUUAAACCAUAAAUCUCCUUUCUCGUCAUGCAAACAGGUGAUUUUUGUGGAAAGACUCAUUUGGACUGAUUGAAGCGACUGUCUCUUCUGUGUGUCUGUCCAGGCGGUGUUUGUGGUCCAGUACUUUAAAAAGAGACCUUGACUUCCACAGAGUCGCUCAGAUGCUGGGACAGCCAACACCGACGAGGCUUCACCACAAAUCAACCACAACAUGGACAACAGUGACAAAUAUGUUGUCGCACAGACUCCUGGAUCCUGCACAGAAGUCACAUGACUAUGACCUCCACCCCCACAACAUGAUCAUGGGGGAGAUGGACCUUUGUAUUUUCAGCUCAUCGCCUUCUUCAUUUAAAGCUGCCUGCUGCUUUUAGUAGCAUUUGAAAAUUAAUCAACAAACACCACUUUAAUCAGGAGUAAUUACUGUAAAUGCAGCAACAAAAGCGGGAGGAGGAUGCUGUUCUCUCAGAAUGAAAUCUGGAAGGUGCACUUAAAAAAGCAAUGUGGUGUUUAUUUUGGCAAGAUCAGUGCUGUCCAAAGGUAGCUGUAGCAUUAAAUACGGUAUGAUAUCUUAGUACAAUGGUACAUGUAUAUAAUAUGUUAUGGCUAUUCUGUCAUUUAUAAAUGCAUCUUUAUUUAAACACUUGGAACUUCAGAUAUCAUAGAAUAUCGUACUAAUUGGUGAAUUAUAGGGACCUGAAGGGGAAAAUUGUGUAAAAUAAUGGAAGUACACUAAUGCUGGUUAUAUCUUUCGUGUGUGGUCAUAGUUUCCAUCCUCCUCUCUAAGCCAAUCAGCGUUCCAGACAGAAACAGCAUCUACAUCUAUUGUUCCAACAGCUAGUCAGAUUCUUUAGAAACAGGAGAUCUCUGCUGUCAUCUGGUGGUUCGGUGGCAUCAUGGCCAGUUUUGUAGCUUGCAUUAUUAGGACUGAAAGUGCGAAAACCCUGUUGAAACCCCGUGGUUUAUGUAUAAUUUUAGUCUUUUUGUCUGUUCAAAGGUGAAAAAAUCAGGAAACACUGACUUAGAGUGUUUUCUACAUUUUUUUCUACAGUGUAGAACUAAACUGAAGACAUCAGCACUGUGAAAUAACACAAAUAGAUUUAUGUAUAUUAUAUGAUAUUAAACAAAAUACUCGUGUGCUAUAUAACACUAUUUGUCUGUUUCAUUGAUGUCUUCAGUGUACACUUAGGAUGGAGGAGUGGCAUGUUUACUGGGAAUCUGGCAUCAUAAAUCCAAAAUGUAUGGUCAUAUUUUGCUUCUUUAUGGUCAUAUUUUGCCACUUUUUCAUCAAAUUUAGCCUGCUUAUGGUCACAUUUAUCUUUUUUUUUGGUCAUGCUUUGACCAUUUCACGUCUUCAGCAUACACUUUAAAACAUUUUUUUUUAAAAAAAAAGGUAAACCCUUGAAUUUUCUUCCUCUUUUCUCCCAUAACGCUGUUUUCUGUGUUUUCUUGUCUGUGAGGAUUUGUCAUGUUUGUGAAUUACUUCAAACUGACAGGCCAGCAAAGAGAUUAUUGAUUUCUGAUAUAUUUACUGUGUUUUAUCUCUCAUAUAAUGUCCCAGGAUACUUUCUCUACUGUAAGAGGUUAUACUGUUUGUUUAAAUAGGGACAGAAUUACUAUAAAUUGUAUAGUUUUAUUGAUCAAUAACUUGCAUCUGUC
ensembl:lncRNA